GUCUCACUCUUUCCCUUAGCUCCGGAGGAAGCAAGCGAUGAUGCAUCCACUGCUCAGAGUCACGUCUUUGGAUCCUCAUUUCCUCAAGACGAACUGACAUUGAUUGAAGAGAACGAGACAAUGAGAAGGAAUAUACCUCAAGUUUUGAAGGCCCCACCACAAACAGUAACAGAAUUUAGGAAAAACUUCUACGGAGGCAACAAUAUCAGACUGUAUAGCUUGAGAGAAGAUUCCAUAGUUAAAUUCUGAGGCAUCACCUUCAACAAAGCAACGACUUCUCAGAACAGUCUCGCUGAUAUUUCUCCAAGUAUCAUACCCUGACCUAUGCUUGUUCGAAUUCCCACAGUACAAGAAAUGUGUAUUGCAUCCUUCAACUUCUUUACAAGCAUCCUUCCAGCAGGUGCCAUUACGUUCAAUGGCUAGUAAGUACCAGACAGACCCAGUUAUCUGUGCCAUUACAAGAGUCAGAAGAAUGAACUUAUUGCUACAUAAAUUAGUAAAUUCUCUUCUUACACGAAUUAAUUAGCCCGUAUGGGAAAAGAAAUGCAAACUGCUAUAUCUAGAACUUCAAAAUCUUGCCGCUUAUUUUCUUAGCCUUGUAAAAUUUCCAUUAUUAAACUCCAUAGAUUCUUUAG